rnacentral:rRNA from 12 species
CCGUAAGUUCGCGAGAAGGGAGCCUCUGCAUUGGGCAACCAGUGUGGAGGGGCACAGACCAGGGGGUGGCGACUGUUUACUAAAAACACAGGGCUCUGCGAAGUCGCAAGACGACGUAUAGGGUCUGACGCCUGCCCGGUGCCUGAAGGUUAAAAGGAGGGGUGAGAGCUCUGAAUUGAAGCCCAGGUAAACGGCGGCCGUAACAAUAACGGUCCUAAGGUAGCGA